ensembl:lncRNA
CCCCGGGGUAAUGUCCCCGGGGCCGUAGAGAGAGGGGACCAAGUUGUGUUCAUUUCCUCUCAUGCCACACAUCCCCAAAUCCCCAAAUCCCACACACACACACACACACACACACACACACACACACAUGAAGCAUCAUUUAAAUAACUUAGCACCGAUUGCUGCAAGGCUUACAAUUUUGAAACUAAAAAGGGAAAAAGAGAAAUAAAUACAAAUAAAUUCAUAAAGUCAAAUUUACAAUUAAAGCCUUGGAUUUUCAAGAACAUCCUAUCAGGGUUUGCCAAACUGCAUUCAAUCUUGCCUCGACCAAUAGAAAGGUGCAGGCUGAUCAUUAGGUUGAAAGUGUGCAGGAAGGGCAGUGAGUCAGCUGAUGUAGAGGCUCCUCCCACUCCGCAAUGUAGAGGCUCCUCCCACUACGGUAUGCAGAGGCUCCUCCCCCUACGGUAUGCAGAGGCUCCUCCCACUACGGUAUGCAGAGGCUCCUCCCACUACUGUAUGCAGAGGCUCCUCCCACUAUGGUAUGCAGAGGCUCCUCCCACUACGAUAUGCAGAGGCUCCUCCCACUACGGUAUGCAGAGGCUUCUCCCACUACGGUAUGCAGAGGCUCCUCCCACUACGGUAUGCAGAGGCUCCUCCCACUACGGUAUGCAGAGGCUGAGCUCCUGGAGAAACCUGUAAAACUUUCCCUCUCGGGCGGAGCUCUGAGAUUGUUAUACACAAGUCAGAGUUGUACGUUGAAAAAAAUGCAAUACAUUAAAUGUACACACACACACACACACACACACACACACACACACACAAACAAACACAAACAAGGAUCACACAUAUACUUUAAGUUAUACAUUUUGUGUUGUAAUCUAUCCAUAUAUAUAUAUACACAUAAACAUUAUAAUAUAAACGUACAAAACGUAUUCAAGGACGACUGACAAGCUUAACAUCUGAUAAAGACAACUGGUAAACACCUAUAGGCACACAGAUCGAUCCAGCGAGAUACAGUGGUACACAACAUCAACAUCUCCUAGAGGGGGUCUUCACUGACCCCGUCCUCCUCAGCGGACAUCUUGGUUCGAAAUGCCAUCUGGGAGGUGAAUGUGGGGGUCCACCAAGGACAUAUUAUAGAAUGGAGACCGGAUUCCAAAAUGGCGCCCAUAGAUUCCUAUGUAAACUGCUCGAUGGCGCAGGGCAACAUCAAGGAGAGCUAUGCUUCUGCAUCAUGGGAGCCUAGCCACGCCCUAGUUCAAUAUUCCCCCACCCCCACCCCACCCCGUCAACAAACCAGCGCAAGGCGGUAAGGUCUUCACUCCCCCCUCAACAACUUCAAGAGACCCCCACAAAGAUUGAAUCAUAACUCAAACCCUGCAUGGAAGUAGUAAAUGCCGGGCCGAAACAACAUUUGUUUCAGUACGACUCCUUUCAGCUGCCCACCCCUCCUUCUCCAGCAAAAAAAUAUGAUAUAAAACGUCUAAUAAAACGCUUGAGGUGCGGUUUGAAAAGAGAAAACUUAAAUUUUCUUAGCACAUGGCAUAAAGAUAAUUAUGAGCCUUUGAUUGAUAUCCAGACAUUUUUUGCGGAGACACAUUCCUGUUCCCCACUUGUAUUGGAGUGAACGGAGAUAUCUACUUCUGGGUCCCUUGAAUCGAGGGACCCGUCCACAGCCCGCUUAGUAUGCGCAGUGUUCCCGGGGGCUUGGGGUCCACGCUCACCUCCCAGAUAGUGUUUGGAACCAAGAUGGCCGGCAUGUGAGUAAAACCUGGUGUCAAACACGCUAUUGGCUAAGACAAGAGCAGAGCAAGAUGGGAAGGCACACGCACACAGAACGGACAAGAGCACUGAGAACCAACACAUUCAUGGCUGAACACAAGGGCAGCAGGUAACAUGGCACACCUACAGGCGUCACAUUUAUGUACAGAUACGUUCCUGUCCAGACCCCCUCCACUUCAACCUCCACCACCACCACCUCCACCACCACCAGCACCACCACCUCUACCUCCUCCACCACCACCCCCACCACCACCAUCACCAUCACCACCACCACCACCACCACCACCACCACCACCACCACC